AUAGAUGGAGGUUGGCACUUGAUUAGCACGUGUCAUGUUUGGAAUUUUUACUAAGAUGAAUGAAUUUCUUAAUAAUGAAAAAAGUGCAUGACAUGAUGAAUUACGAGGGACAGGACAUUUUCUCUCAUUAACACAUGCAGAAUAAUUUUUCAAAUGAAAUUUGAGUCAUCAAGACUUUGUAUUUCUUUCAUCUUUUUUAGUUGAAAGAUGGAUCCAAAUUUGUACGGACUCCACUUCUUUGAAAGAGCAUUUUACUUUUUCUUGUAUUUUUCUGCGAUAUACAACCAAAGAACUUCUAUUUAUGCCAGUUAGUUUAAUCAUGCUUUUGGGAGGUGUUGUUAUGUAUUCAAUCCAGAGCAUUGAACGUUGUAUUGGUAUCUUAAAUCUUUAAUGUGUUGCAGAAAAGCGCUGGCUUCUGUACUAGUAUCUUAAAAUUUUUAUGGGGUGCUUCCGUAAUAUUCAAGAUCUUAAUCCAAAGUACUUUUGAUAAAUUGGGAUGAGUAGCUCAUAGAAGGUAUUCCAUUCUUCAAACUUUUCUCUUUUAAUUCAGACUUGUUUGAUGAGCUACUCUUCCAAGGAUAUAGUCUGAUCGAUACCGUCAAUGAAAUCUCAAAACUCAUUUGGUCUUUUUUCACGUUCAGUCAAUUUGAAUCUAAGCAUCAGUCUUUAUAACCGUUUGACACAUGGUAGAAGUCUUAUUUGAUGCACUGAAUACAUGCUUACACAGGUUUUGUCACAGGUGGAGUUUAGCAAACUAGCUAAUACCAGACAUUCUUCCAUUCAGGGUGUCAAAUGCAAGGAUAAAGGUUCAUCCGCCACGUGGCAUAGAGUGAAGGCUGUUGCUUCCAAAUUCAGCUGUCAGAUGAUUUCCAGAACCAAGCCAGCACACUCUUUUCCACAUUAAUCAAACUCAAGUGUUGAGCCAGAUAAGAGGGACAGAAACUACUGGCAUCUCGCCAUCAACAGAGCAAGAAGAUGUGCCACUUGACAGGGCAUCGACUAUCCCUUCUUUGGCAACAAUUGGUUCUGCUGUGCCUCCUCCUGCUGCUCAACCAUAGUCAUCAUCAGCAAUGGACAAAGAUAAAGCCCCUAUAAUUGUCGAGGCAGAUUUACGCGGUGGUGGAGAGGAAUCUCUUAUCUCAAAGAUCGAGUCUCUUUUGAGUGAUGACUCAGGAAAGCAAAAUACUGGGACAGAGAUGUCACAAGCAAGUCAUUUUGAUCUUCAAGCAUACCAGAAUGCAUCGCAAGAGUUGGAAAUUACAAUGAGUCAGGGACUCCAGGCAAUCGUGUUUAAUCCCAAGCUACUUGGUCAAUUGCAAGAAUUACUGAACUUCUUAGUCGAACAAAAUGCACCAGAGGUCUCUACUAUUGGAUAUCAAUGUGUCUAUCUCAAAUUGCAGAACUUUAUUCAGACUCAGGUGACUCCCUCUCUUCCCAAUAAAAGAUCCUCAUUGAAUGUGAGGGGUUAGAAUGGGAGCUCAAAAUGGAAAAGUUUCUUUUGGCGUCUGACAAGGAUGAAGUUCGUUUGAUCAAGAAACAAUG